CCACCGGAGCUUGCUCCACGGAAAAAGAGGAGUGGCGAACGGGUGAUAACACGUGGGUAACCUGCCCAUCAAAGGGAUAACACUUGGAACAGUGCUAAUACCGUAUAACACAAAACCGCAUGGUUUUGAUUUGAAAGGCGCUUCGGGUGUCCUGAUGGAUGGACCCGCGGUGCAUUAGCUAGUUGGUGAGGUAACGGCUCACCAAGGCCACGAUGCAUAGCCGACCUGAGAGGGUGAUCGGCCACAUUGGGACUGAGACACGGCCCAAACUCCUACGGGAGGCAGCAGUAGGGAAUCUUCGGCAAUGGACGAAAGUCUGACCGAGCAACGCCGCGUGAGUGAAGAAGGUUUUCGGAUCGUAAAACUCUGUUGUUAGAGAAGAACAAGGAUGAGAGUAACUGUUCAUCCCUUGACGGUAUCUAACCAGAAAGCCACGGCUAACUACGUGCCAGCAGCCGCGGUAAUACGUAGGUGGCAAGCGUUGUCCGGAUUUAUUGGGCGUAAGGCGAGCGCAGGCGGUUUCUUAAGUCUGAUGUGAAAGCCCCCGGCUCAACCGGGGAGGGUCAUUGGAAACUGGGAGACUUGAGUGCAGAAGAGGAGAGAGGAAUUCCAUGUGUAGCGGUGAAAUGCGUAGAUAUAUGGAGGAACACCAGUGGCGAAGGCG
rnacentral:rRNA from 1 species